AUGAGGCCAUCCACCUACUCCCCCACGUGCUUAAGGUUAGUUGGAGGGAGGAGGCACCUUGUAACUUUGACUAUAUUUUUUAAAACUAUUCCUUAUCUCCCAUCUAAUUAUUUUCUAAUUAUUUCUUAUCUCUCAUCUAGUAACUAUUUCUUGUACCAAAGGUAUUCAUUAAUAAAGGUAGAUAACCCUAUCUCUAUCUCUAGUUGGAGGGUUCAAAUCGCACUAGCACAUGAGGAAAAAAAGAAAGGACCCACCUGCAAGAUAAUGCCACUCACUGGACCCAGAUUUCCUAUGGGCAAAAUACAAUGCAUCCAGCAUUCAAGCGUAAUUAGCAGAUCGGAUAAUCAUAGUCUACUAUUUAAUCAUUACUAUUGA